GAAGACUAACUACUGCGAAAGCAUUUGCCAAGGAUGUUUUCAUUAAUCAGGAACGAAAGUUAGGGGAUCGAAGACGAUCAGAUACCGUCGUAGUCUUAACCAUAAACUAUGCCGACUAGGGAUCGGACGAUGUUAUUUAGUUGACUCGUUCGGCACCUUACGAGAAAUCAAAGUGCUUGGGCUCCAGGGGGAGUAUGGUCGCAAGGCUGAAACUUAAAGAAAUUGACGGAAGGGCACCACCAGGGGUGGAGCCUGCGGCUUAAUUUGACUCAACACGGGGAAACUCACCAGGUCCAGACACAAUGAGGAUUGACAGAUUGAGAGCUCUUUCUUGAUUUUGUGGGUGGUGGUGCAUGGCCGUUCUUAGUUGGUGGAGUGAUUUGUCUGCUUAAUUGCGAUAACGAACGAGACCUUAACCUGCUAAAUAGUCAGUAUUGCUAUGGCAGUACGCGGGCUUCUUAGAGGGACUAUCGGCUCAAGCCGAUGGAAGUUUGAGGCAAUAACAGGUCUGCGAUGCCCUUAGAUGUUCUGGGCCGCACGCGCG
rnacentral:rRNA from 1 species